CACCGAUGGAGAAGACAGGUCUGUGGGCCGUUACUGACGCUGAGGAGCGAAAGCAUGGGGAGCGAACAGGAUUAGAUACCCUGGUAGUCCAUGCCGUAAACGUUGGGCACUAGGUGUGGGAUCCAUUCCACGGGUUCCGUGCCGCAGCUAACGCAUUAAGUGCCCCGCCUGGGGAGUACGGCCGCAAGGCUAAAACUCAAAGGAAUUGACGGGGGCCCGCACAAGCGGCGGAGCAUGCGGAUUAAUUCGAUGCAACGCGAAGAACCUUACCAAGGCUUGACAUACACCGGAAAAGUGCAGAGAUGUGCUCCCCGUAAGGUCGGUGUACAGGUGGUGCAUGGUUGUCGUCAGCUCGUGUCGUGAGAUGUUGGGUUAAGUCCCGCAACGAGCGCAACCCUUGUCCUGUGUUGCCAGCACGUAAUGGUGGGGACUCAUAGGAGACUGCCGGGGUCAACUCGGAGGAAGGUGGGGAUGACGUCAAAUCAUCAUGCCCCUUAUGUCUUGGGCUUCACGCAUGCUACAAUGGCCGGUACAAAGGGCUGCGAUACCGCGAGGUGGAGCGAAUCCCAAAAAGCCGGUCUCAGUUCGGAUUGGGGUCUGCAACUCGACCCCAUGAAGUCGGAGUCGCUAGUAAUCGCAGAUCAGCAACGCUGCGGUGAAUACGUUCUCGGGCCUUGUACACACCGCCCGUCACGUCAUGAAAGUCGGUAACACCCGAAGCCGGUGGCCCAACCCCUUGUGGGAGGGAGCUGUCGAAGGUGGGACUGGCGAUUAGGAC
rnacentral:rRNA from 1 species